rnacentral:rRNA from 1 species
UCAAAUACGUAUAUGCAAGGAGUUGUGCUGGUAUGAUAUUGCAUGUGCACACUCUGAGAGCUAUAUAAUAUAUACACCUGUGAACCAACUGUAGUCUGGAGAAAUCCUAACUAUGAUUACUCUAUAUAACUCUUAUUGUAUGUUACAUAGAACGAUCUCAUAUUGAAACUUUGUUUUUUUACCAAGUUUCCCUUAAUUGAAAAAUACACCUUUUUCAACCACGGAUCUCGUGUCUCUUGCCUCUAAAAAAAACGCAGCAAAGUGAUAUAAGAAGUGAGAAUUGCAAAAUCCAGAGAAUCCUCAAAUCUUUGAACGCCCCGUGCCCCCUUUGGUAUUCAGAGGGGUGUGCGUGUUAGAGAGUCAUUAAAUUCUCACCCUUACAAAUUUGUGUAUUUGUCAGGGCGUGUAUGAGAGAGGUGCUAGAUAAGAAUAUCUGACUGGCUCUCUUUAAAACUAUUAGUAGGACAUAUAGAAAUGCCUGCGGUUGGUGUGAUAAUAUGUCUACGCCUAUACCAAAGGGAUUCUAGCUCGUAUGCACUACACAUAAAAUCAUGCGCAUAUAUCUAGCAUAUAAGUGCGUAUAUGACAUUGACAUCAAAUCACGUAGGAGUACACGCUGAACUAUGCAUAUAACAAGAGGAGAAGAA